GGACUGGCAAGAUGGGGGCCAGCAAAGGAUCUAAUGGAAAAAGGUUUCAUUAGUAUUUACCUAAUGUCAUCUUCCUGUUUGAGGACCCCAUCUGGGAUACCACAGCACAUUUGGUCAUGUCUCCUGAGGCUCCUCUUGGCUGAAUUCAGGAAAGAACUUGAGUUCUACUUUUGCAGUGAAGAACAGAGAACACCUGCAGAAGCUGAGAAUGAAAUGAGCCCACCAGGACUUAGCAACCGUCUUGCUGAGUUCAAAGGCGUCACUUGCAAGAGGUCUAUCAGCUCUGGAUGAAG
rnacentral:lncRNA from 10 species